CCUACGGGUGGCAGCAGUGAGGAAUAUUGGUCAAUGGGCGCGAGCCUGAACCAUCCAAGUCGCGUGAGGGAUGACGGCCCUACGGGUUGUAAACCUCUUUUGCCGGGGAGCAACGGGCGCCACGUGUGGCGCCACUGAGAGUACCCGGAGAAAAAGCAUCGGCUAACUCCGUGCCAGCAGCCGCGGUAAUACGGAGGAUGCGAGCUUUAUCCGGAUUUAGUGUGUUCAAAGGGUGCGUAGGCGGAAUGUUAAGUCAGGGGUCAAAUUGAGGGGCUCCACCCCUUCCCGCCAUUGAAACUGGCGCUCUUGAGUGGAAGAGAAGGAUGCGGAAUGCGUGGUGUAGCGGUGAAAUGCAUAGAUAUCACGCGGAACCCCGAUUGCGAAGGCAGCAUGCCGGCUUCCGACUGACGCUGAAGCACGAAAGCGUGGGGAUCGAACAGGAUUAGAUACCCGAGUAGUC
rnacentral:rRNA from 1 species